GGGGUUGUGGCUCAGUGGUAGAGCCGCCGUUUGGCAUGCAGCAAAUCCUGGAUUCAAUCCCUGGCAUCUCCA
rnacentral:tRNA from 1 species